UCAACCUAGUAGGACAAUUCCCUGCGCCCAACGACUUUUGUCGGGAUCGUGGCAAGUCUGCGAUCGAGGGGGUGAUGUUGAGAGCCGGAAGGCAAGAGGGUGCAAACACCAGUCGGCCUUUGUCCCGAUUGCUGAGUGUUAUGUGCUUGAUGUCCAAGGCUUGAUGUUGAUCCUCCAAGUGGGGCUUGUCCCUGCAUCAAUGGCUUUUGCCAGGAUCAUGGCGUUUGCUGUGAUCGAAAAAAUGAGGGGGUGAUGUUGAGAGCCGGAAGGCAAGGGGGUGCAAACACCAGUCGGCCUUUGUCCCGAUUGUUGAGUGUUAUGUGCUUGACGUCCAAGGCUUGAUGUUGACCCUCCAAGUGGGGCUUUUUUGUUCCUGCAGUAACGACUUUGUUGGGAUCAUUGUGAUCAAGUUUGGUUGGUUUCGUAUUGUGGUGGGUUUUUUCGAAGCUUCUAUUGUUCUUUUACGCAUCGUGCGGUGCAUCUUGGGGGCUGUUUUGGCUUUUGGUUGCUUGCUUGGGCUUUAUGCUAGGCGGGUGC
rnacentral:misc_RNA from 1 species